rnacentral:rRNA from 1 species
GGGCCCGCACAAGCGGUGGAGUAUGUGGUUUAAUUCGACGCAACGCGAAGAACCUUACCAAGGCUUGACAUGGAACCGACCGGCGCAGAAAUGUGCCUUCCCUUCGGGGCGGUUCACACAGGUGGUGCAUGGUUGUCGUCAGCUCGUGUCGUGAGAUGUUGGGUUAAGUCCCGCAACGAGCGCAACCCUUGCCGUUAGUAGCCAUCAUUAAGUUGGGCACUCUAGCGGGACUGCCGUGGAUAACACGGAGGAAGGCGGGGAUGACGUCAAAUCAUCAUGCCCCUUAUGUCUUGGGCUACACACGUACUACAAUGGAUGAGGACAAAGCGACGCAAGGCGGCAACGCGGAGCAAAUCGCAAAAAGCAUCCUCAGUUCGGAUCGUGGGCUGCAACCCGCCACGUGAAGUUGGAAUCGCUAGUAAUCGCGGAUCAGCAUGCCG